AACGAACGCUGGCGGCAUGCCUAACACAUGCAAGUCGAACGAGACCUUCGGGUCUAGUGGCGCACGGGUGCGUAACGCGUGGGAACCUGCCCUUAGGUUCGGAAUAACUCCCCGAAAGGGGUGCUAAUACCGGAUAAUAUCUUCGGACCAAAGAUUUAUCGCGUUUGGAUGGGCCCGCGUUGGAUUAGCUAGUUGUGAGGGUAAAAGCAUACCACGGGGACGAUCCAUAGCUGGUCUGAGAGGCUGAUCAGCCACACUGGGACUGAGACACGGCCCAGACUCCUACGGGAGGCAGCAGUGGGGAAUAUUGGAAAAUGGGCGAAAGGCUGAUCCGGCAAUGACGCGUGAGUGAUGAAGGCCUUAGGGUUGUAAAGCUCUUUUACCCGGGAUGAUAAUGACAGUACCGGGAGAAUAAGCCACGGCUAACUCCGUG
rnacentral:rRNA from 1 species